rnacentral:rRNA from 1 species
UAGAUACCCUGGUAGUCCACGCCCUAAACGAUGCUGACUAGUUGUUCGGGAUUUACAUCCUGAGUAACGUAGCUAACGCGUGAAGUCAGCCGCCUGGGGAGUACGGUCGCAAGAUUAAAACUCAAAGGAAUUGACGGGGACCCGCACAAGCGGUGGAUGAUGUGGAUUAAUUCGAUGCAACGCGAAAAACCUUACCUACCCUUGACAUGUCACUAACGAAGUAGAGAUACAUUAGGUGCUCGUAAGAGAA